rnacentral:tmRNA from 1 species
GGGGAUGUAAUGGUUUCGACAUACUACCAGAAAUAUAGAUAGCAAGUAGUGGAUUCUCGUUGGCCACUUAAAAAAACGGGAAAAUAAAAAUAAACGCUGAUAAACAAGAAUUAGCAUUAGCUGCCUAAGUGUAGCUACGCUUUACUUUAAUAGUCCCACCUGUUUUAGUAAAGUGUCAUAAUAGUGGGAAACAAAACUACUUUUGCUUUUGAAGUAGUGGGUAAUAAAAAAAGCUAUAUUAUUAUUUAUCCUGUUUGUCGGAGAUACAAUAAUGAAUAAAAAAGACAAAAUAAACUUGUAGAAGUCUAUGUGGAAAGUAUUAUGGACAGGAGUUCGACUCUCCUCAUCUCCACCA